AUACAAUGUUAGCGCCACCAUCUGCUUCUCACGUCGUUGAUAAUGUCGAGCACGAAGAAAUUUUGCAAUUACGGCGCGCGCGUCGCGUCAGUCGGUUUUCGUGACGUAAUGCGCGAUGUUCUCGAGCCAACAUUGCGAGUUAGAAGCCUGGGGGGCCUGCGGUGACCUUGUAGUGUUUGUAAACAGACACACGUUGGUACACGUUGUCGUCGGACGAGACAUUAAAAAAAUAAACGACAAAGGUGAUCGGUAGAUUGUCGAGACGAAUAUCUCGUCGAGGAAAGUGCAAUAUCACGUUUGGGAAAAAGAUCGAAAGUGAAGAGAAGAAAGAGAGUCGAGCGAGGAAGGGAGAGAUAUUCGUCCAAGGAACAUGGAAGUGGAGCCGAUGUGUAUAGUCGAAAACGAAACGGAGGGAUCUCGCGGUGAUCGGAAAGAGGGGGGCAAGAGGGGACGCAAGCCCGGAAGGAAGGCGUCCGACAAGGUGGACAUGAAAGCCAAGCUCGAGCGAAGUCGACAGAGUGCGAGGGAGUGCCGUGCUCGAAAAAAGUUGAGAUAUCAGUACCUGGAAGAGCUUGUGGCUGACAGAGAAAAGGCUGUGUUAGCUCUAAGAAAAGAGCUAGAGAUGACCCAACCAACUCGGGAUCCCUUUGGAAUUGAACCGACGCUAGAACGAGCCGUGUAACUGCGAAUCGCUUUCCACUUUCUUGCGUGCCUGUUUAAUUUUGACCACCGGUUAUAUUAUAUUUAUUACAGUAGAGAGAGAGAGAGAGGGAGAGAGAGAGAGAGACUUAGACGAGAAGCUAUUUCAGCUGGAAAGAAGGAUAAAGAGGAAACGUGAAAAAUCUCACCGCGUGAGAGAACGCGAUGCUCUUGACGUUGACUCAAGAGUAGGAGGAGAAGGAUGCACGAUGAAAGAAAGGGAUAGGAAAAAUGUAAGUAGGUACAUGUCUUCUCUUCUAUGUUUGUGUGUAUUUUAGUACGUGUAUGUGAGAGUAAGUCAGUCGAGAAGGGAAACCAGUCCUCCCUUAUUCGAACGAUUUAUUUCCUGCGAAGACUCUCUGUACGUCGUCCUUUAUCUAAAUUUUAUUUUAUUCCCUUUGCUCCCUCCCUGUUUCUUCGUGAACGACGACGAUGGUUUAUCUUUUAUCCGGACGAAUAAUCACUGGCCUUCUCUUUUUCUUGCUCUUUCUCUCUCUUUCUCCCUUUAUCCUAGUCACUUAUGAAAGAAAGGAAUCGUUCUUCGAAGGGAGUAGCUACGGAAUAAAAAAUGAAGUGCUUCGUCUUUUCAAUAGAAAACUUAUCGCAAAAAACUCUUUUUAUUUUUUUGCAUAUUCCAACUGGUGUAACAUUUAUUGUCGAUUCAUAUCUCUCUAUCUAUCUCUUUCUGUCUUGUGCUCUCGAGAGCACGAGAGUCAGUGACAGUUAGAUUUUUUCAGGUUAUUGGAAAAAUUCACCCUCAAGGCAGUGACUCGAGCAAGCGAGCGAAAAAGAACCUCGUAUAGUUCGUUCCAUCGUUCCAUCGACUGAACGACGAAUAACUCGCGUUUUCCCACGAGCCCUUUUUUGAAUGCCACCUUCGACUGCUAUCACAGGUACUGGUUUUAUCGUUUAACAAAAAAUUCUUCGUAGCUCCAUGUCCGUUGAGAAAUCUUUGAAAAAAUGUGACUUUGCGAGAAUGUUCUUUUUAUUCUUUUCUCUUUUUUUUGCUGUUUUAUUUCUUUUGUCAUUUUUAUUUUUACUUCUUUUUUUUUUCAAGCACGAUUGUUAUAACUUUCGUUAGAAGUGGAAUUUUUCUGUUCCCUUUAUAAUCCUUCACAAAUCGUGAUACUUUUUUUUUCCUACACUUACUUAUCUAUGCGCGUAAAUUUUGUUUGAUUAUAGCAAGAAAUUGAUCGAACUAAACCUAAUCAAAUUUUAUGGAAAGUUCCUCUAUCAUAACUGAAAAUAUUGCUUAUAGUUUCAAACAAAUUGCUCGAUUACUUUCAAAGUGACGUUCAUUUAUGGCGAUCGUGCAUAAUGCAUAUUUACGAAACCCAUAAAACGAGUGCCGUUAUUAUGUAAUAUUAAUAAAAUAGAAACCACGAUAAAGCGGAAUAAUUAUCGCGAUGAUGGAAGCGAGCCGAACUCGGAAAAUUUGUAGUUUAUCAAUAACCGGGAAAAUUUUUUGCGAAAAUAAUACGAAAAAUUUGUGGUUAGCAAUAAGUGAAGUUCGGUCUUUCGCUGGGAUUUAUAGUGUGCAGUAUCCAUGAACGCCGAAGGCGAUCGUGCUGAUUUCUUUUUUCUCGUUGUUUAAAUUUGUCUUUUUUGGCCCGUGGAAGUAUUUAAUUGAACGUUUCUCAUCGUGUCAUGUACACUGGAUUCAUUUCUAUUUCUCUCUCUCUCUCUCUCUCUUUUUUGUUUUUUUAUUGUCUAUCUCUUAUCGCUUUCAUUUCAUUUUGAUCGGACAUCGAAGUCGACAGUAGUUGCAAGUAACGAUCGUUUAGUUCUUCCAAAAUGAGAUGAAACUUGUCCUUUCUCUGCCCAUCGUUACUAGAUACCUACCGGAUGUUGCUAUCACCGAGAAGCAACUUCAGUUAGGAAACUACCAACACUUUGGCACCUAUUUAGAGACGAAAACUUUCGGGGAGCAAGCCAGCAGCUGGUCUCAAAAGGGGGUCUGGUCAGUUCUGCGAGAAUGCUUUGGAAAACUUAUCGGCCAGCUGUGGCCGCCAUAUUCCCAACUCAAUCCUCAUUCUGCUUGGUUUACCCAAAAGAAAAUGUUUCACUUUAGAUCGUUUCUUUCGUCUUCGCAAGAAAGAAAAUUCGAAGAUAUAUAUGUCAUUUCAUUUUAUCGUUUAGUUAAUUAAGAUACCAUUUUUCUUUCUUCUUUUUUUUUCUUUCUUUCUUUUUCUUUUCUAAAAUCGAAUUUUAUAUCUUGAUAUCUGUGCUAUUAUUUCUCGUCGAAAAAGAAGAUAUAUUGACGACUUUGUCACACUCGAGGAAUAAUUUAUCGGUUGAGAUUUAAAAAGAAAAAGAGAGAAAUGGAUAGAAAGGGAGAGAGAGAGAGAGAG